AGUAGUUUGAUCAUGGCUCAGGAUGAACGCUGGCGGCGUGCUUAACACAUGCAAGUCGAACGAUGAAAGCGGGAGCUUGCUCCUGCUGGAUUAGUGGCGAACGGGUGAGUAACACGUGAGUAACCUGCCCUUGACUCUGGGAUAAGCGUUGGAAACGACGUCUAAUACCGGAUACGACCUUCGGAGGCAUCUCCUGGGGGUGGAAAGAAUUUCGGUCAAGGAUGGACUCGCGGCCUAUCAGCUAGUUGGUGAGGUAAUGGCUCACCAAGGCGACGACGGGUAGCCGGCCUGAGAGGGUGACCGGCCACACUGGGACUGAGACACGGCCCAGACUCCUACGGGAGGCAGCAGUGGGGAAUAUUGCACAAUGGGCGCAAGCCUGACGCAGCAACGCCGCGUGAGGGACGACGGCCUUCGGGUUGUAAACCUCUUUUAGUAGGGAAGAAGCGAAAGUGACGGUACCUGCAGAAAAAGCACCGGCUAACUACGUG
rnacentral:rRNA from 1 species